AUUGAACGCUGGCGGCAUGCUUUACACAUGCAAGUCGGACGGCAGCACAGAGAAGCUUGCUUCUUGGGUGGCGAGUGGCGAACGGGUGAGUAACAUAUCGGAACGUACCGAGCAGUGGGGGAUAACUAGUCGAAAGAUUAGCUAAUACCGCAUAUUUUCUGAGGAAGAAAGCAGGGGACCUUUGGGCCUUGCGCUGUUUGAGCGGCCGAUAUCUGAUUAGCUAGUUGGUGGGGUAAAGGCCUACCAAGGCGACGAUCAGUAGCGGGUCUGAGAGGAUGAUCCGCCACACUGGGACUGAGACACGGCCCAGACUCCUACGGGAGGCAGCAGUGGGGAAUUUUGGACAAUGGGCGCAAGCCUGAUCCAGCCAUGCCGCGUGUCUGAAGAAGGCCUUCGGGUUGUAAAGGACUUUUGUCAGGGAAGAAAAGGGCGGGGUUAAUACCCCUGUCUGAUGACGGUACCUGAAGAAUAAGCACCGGCUAACUACGUG
rnacentral:rRNA from 1 species